rnacentral:rRNA from 1 species
UACAGAGGGUGCAAGCGUUAUUCGGAAUUACUGGGCGUAAAGAGCGUGUAGGCUGUUUACUAAGUCUGAUGUGAAAGCCCUGGGCCCAAUCCAGGAAGUGCAUUGGAUACUGGUAGACUAGAGUGCAGGAGGGGUGAGCGGAAUUCCAGGUGUAGAGGUGAAAUUCGUAGAUAUCUGGAGGAACAACAGUGGCGAAGGCGGCUCACUGGACUGCAACUGACGCUAAGGCGCGAAAGCGUGGGGAGCAAACAGG